rnacentral:rRNA from 1 species
CAAAGGAGGCGACUCCGGUGACGGAUGGGCAUGCGGCGCAUUAGGUAGUUGGUAGGGUAACGGCCUACCAAGCCGACGAUGCGUAGGGGUUCUGAGAGGAAGGUCCCCCACAUUGGAACUGAGACACGGUCCAAACUCCUACGGGAGGCAGCAGUGAGGAAUAUUGGUCAAUGGCCGGAAGGCUGAACCAGCCAAGUCGCGUGAGGGAAUAAGGCCCUAUGGGUCGUAAACCUCUUUUGUCAGGGAGCAAAGGCGUCCACGUGUGGACGAGAGGAGAGUACCUGAAGAAAAAGCAUCGGCUAACUCCGUGCCAGCAGCCGCGGUAAUACGGAGGAUGCGAGCGUUAUCCGGAUUUAUUGGGUUUAAAGGGUGCGUAGGCGGAGUGUCAAGUCAGCGGUAAAAUUUCGGGGCUCAACCCCGUCGUGCCGUUGAAACUGACACCCUUGAGUGAGUGAGAAGUAAGCGGAAUGCGUGGUGUAGCGGUGAAAUGCAUAGAUAUCACGCAGAACGCCGAUUGCGAAGGCAGCUUACCGGCGCUCAACUGACGCUGAGGCACGAAAGUGCGGGUAUCGAACAGGAUUAGAUACCCUGGUAGUCCGCACAGUAAACGAUGAAUGCUAGAUGUCCGGGGCGAAUGAGCUCUGG